rnacentral:rRNA from 1 species
UACGGAGGGGGCUAGCGUUGUUCGGAAUUACUGGGCGUAAAGCGCACGUAGGCGGCUUUGUAAGUUAGAGGUGAAAGCCCGGGGCUCAACUCCGGAAUUGCCUUUAGACUGCAUCGCUAGAAUUGUGGAGAGGUAAGUGGAAUUCCGAGUGUAGAGGUGAAAUUCGUAGAUAUUCGGAAGAACACCAGUGGCGAAGGCGACUUACUGGACACAUAUUGACGCUGAGGUGCGAAAGCGUGGGGAGCAAACAGG